UGCAGAAUCCCGUGAACCAUCGAGUCUUUGAACGCAAGUUGCGCCCUAAGCCUUUCGGCCGAGGGCACGUCUGCCUGGGCGUCAAUCAUCAAUUCGUCCCCCAACCCCCCGCUCCCCCACAGAAGGAGUGCGGAGCUUGGGUACGGAACUUGGCCUCCCGUGCUCUUGCAGCGCGGCUGGCCCAAAUGCGAGCAUCGGACUGAUGAUCUCCGAGGCACGCGGUGGUUGUUAACUCUUACCUCGUGACGUUGCCCGGAGCGUCUCCCAAACGGAGCUCAACGACCCUAGAUCACUAUCGAUGCGACCCCAGGUCAGGCGGGGCCACCCGCUGAAUUUAA
rnacentral:rRNA from 1 species